rnacentral:rRNA from 1 species
AGUAACACGUGGGUAAUCUGCCCUGCACUCUGGGAUAAGCCUGGGAAACUGGGUCUAAUACUGGAUAUGACCUUUCUCCUUAUGGGGUUUGGUGGAAGUUUUCGGUGUAGGAUGAGCCCGCGGCCUAUCAGCUUGUUGGUGGGGUGAUGGCCUACCAAGGCGACGACGGGUAGCCGGCCUGAGAGGGUGAUCGGCCACAUUGGGACUGAGAUACGGCCCAG